AGCGACCCGAGUCCAAAUAUACACACCAACGACAACAAUUAAACACAAAAUUAAAGAACAGAACAAAAAAAGGAAACCCAGAAGCUUCCAUGGACCUCAAGGUCACCUUCCCCCAUCGCCAAAGCAUCAUAGCGAUCUUCAGAAAUGGCCACUUCUUUGUCUUCAAAACAUUCUCAUCUCCUUGAGCUCGAGUGUAUUCCAGUUGGACAUUUCACCUCUCACCAGUGUCGUGGAAUCAUGCUCAGUGAAGACUUCUUCAGCUCCAAGGAUAGAAAGUGAACUGAUUUCGAAGAUUUGGCCAAGAUCCAGCCAACAAAAAUAAAGCUCCAACAAUAACGUGACAUCCUUUCUAGAACGUUUAUCGCUCACGGAAUGAACUCCAUAGAAGUUAAUACCACCAUUAAGGAUUUCAGAUCUAAAAAGGUGUACACUCUACUGUUGUUGCUUACUUGAAGAGCAUACGAAACAUUUGCAUUCCCCCGAGUGAUUGCACAGGUGAUUGAUAAUUGUGAUUUCUCAUCGUCAUGCUCAUGAAGUUAAUGAGAUACAAUAGAAUGCAGAAUUUCCAUGGGUGCUGAUUUCUUUCCAACAGGUGGGGGACUAAUUGAAAUAGAUUCCUUGGCUAUCAUGGUAGUCUCAACCUCCAGGGAUUCUGCAUUGUUAUACUUAUUCCCAUUAAUAUUAUCACUACUUCCUUCAUGUGUUUUACCAUUGUUUUGCUGUGUGCCAAAAUAGUUUGUGACCCAUUCUUUUGUAGAUAUCUGUUGUUGAUUUGCAUCUUUACUACAUGCUGCAUGUGACUCCUCUAUGAGCUUUGUGAACCAUCACUACCCUUCUUAUUUGCCUGUGAAUGAUUCCCUGUAUUGUCGAUUAACUCUAUAUUUGUAGUUUCUUCUGUUAAAGCCUCAAAAGCAUUUGCAGUACUAACUCCUUCAUCAGCUUUGCUUGUGUUCUCAGCCACCUUAUCAUUGAUGUUGUCUCUGAUUCCUCUCUUGUUGGUGGGAUCUAGGAACAGAAGAACUAGAAGGUAUAUCAGGCUGUAUUAAGGGUGGGAAAUCUGAAAGGUUAUUCUGAUCAGUCACGGAAGGUGGCUGACCAGUGGCACCGGCCAUAUCCAGUGGCAAUUAGAAGAACCGGCGACGACUAUGGGGUUAAAUACAUGCGGCGAAGCUAGGGUUUCUUUUUAUGAUAGCCAUCAUUAAUGUCAUGCACAAAAUUUUUAAGUUCUAAUUUUUUUAAAGAAAGUUCUGA